rnacentral:rRNA from 1 species
CCUACGGGAUGCAGCAGUGAGGAAUAUUGGUCAAUGGGCGGGAGCCUGAACCAGCCAAGCCGCGUGAGGGAAGAAGGUACAGCGUAUCGUAAACCUCUUUUGUCAGGGAACAAAGGCGGGGACUAGUCCCCGGAUGAGGGUACCUGAAGAAACAGCAUCGGCUAACUCCGUGCCAGCAGCCGCGGUAAUACGGAGGAUGCGAGCGUUAUCCGGAUUUAUGGGGUUUAAAGGGUGCGCAGGCGGCCUGUUAAGUCAGCGGUAAAAGCCCGGGGCUCAACCCCGGCGAGCCGUUGAAACUGGCGGGCUGGAGUGGGAGAGAAGUACGCGGAAUGCGCGGUGUAGCGGUGAAAUGCUUAGAUAUCGCGCAGAACCCCGAUGGCGAAGGCAGCGUACCGGCUCCACACUGACGCUGAGGCACGAAAGCGUGGGUAUCGAACAGGAUUAGAUACCCCGGUAGUC